rnacentral:rRNA from 1 species
CCUACGAGUGGCAGCAGUGAGGAAUAUUGGUCAAUGGACGAGAGUCUGAACCAGCCAAGUAGCGUGAAGGAUGACUGCCCUAUGGGUUGUAAACUUCUUUUAUAUGGGAAUAAAAUGUUCCACGUGUGGGAUUUUGUAUGUACCAUAUGAAUAAGGAUCGGCUAACUCCGUGCCAGCAGCCGCGGUAAUACGGAGGAUCCGAGCGUUAUCCGGAUUUAUUGGGUUUAAAGGGAGCGUAGGUGGAUUGUUAAGUCAGUUGUGAAAGUUUGCGGCUCAACCGUAAAAUUGCAGUUGAAACUGGCAGUCUUGAGUACAGUAGAGGUGGGCGGAAUGCGUGGUGUAGCGGUGACAUGCUUAGAUAUCACGAAGAACUCCGAUUGCGAAGGCAGCUCACUGGACUGCAACUGACACUGAGGCUCGAAAGUGUGGGUAUCAAACAGGAUUAGAUACCCCUGUAGUC